UUGCAGGUAUUCCAUGUUUCUUACACAGAUUUUGAAGCUCUUUCCGGGAAAGGCUGUAAUAAUCAACCUCGGGCUUAUCAACCUUCAAGAUUGAAGAGUUAGUUUUGUAUUCCAUGUUUCUUACACAGAUUUUGAAGCUCUUUCCGAGGAAGGUUGUGAUAAUCAACCUUUGGCUUAUCAACCUUCAACAUUGACAAGUAUUCCGUUUUUCUUACACAGAUUUUGAAGCUCUUUCCGCGGAAGGCUGUGAUAAUCUACAACUGCCAUCUGUGCUGUUGUCCCACUUAGACUUGCAGCAUGCACAAACUACAGGAUCUGGAAUAAUGCAACCU